rnacentral:rRNA from 1 species
GACGAACGCUGGCGGCGUGCUUAACACAUGCAAGUCGAACGGAAAGGCCCUGCUUUUGUGGGUUGCUCGAUUGGCGAACGGGUGAGUAACACGUGAGUAACCUGCCCUUGACUUUGGGAUAACUUCAGGAAACUGGGGCUAAUACCGGAUAGGAGCUCCUGCUGCAUGGUGGGGGUUGGAAAGUUUCGGCGGUUGGGGAUGGACUCGCGGCUUAUCAGCUGGUUGGUGGGGUAGUGGCUGACCAAGGCUUUGACGGGUAGCCGGCCUGAGAGGGUGACCGGCCACAAUGGGACUGCGAUACGGCCCAGACUCCUACGGGAGGCAGCAGUCGGGAAUAUUGCACAAUGGGCGGAAGCCUGAUGCAGCAACGCCGCGUGCGGAAUGCCGGCCUUCGGGGUGUAAACAGCUUUCGCCUGUGACGAAGCGUGCGUGACGGUAAUGGGUAAAGAAGCACCGGCUAACUACGUG